GUAAAACAAAUUAGCCUGCAACACAUGGCUGCUCCAAAGACGACGGUUUAUCUUCUCCUUUUGUUGGUUUUCACAAGUAUAUUAUAUGAAGUGGAAGCAAGGAAUGUAGUGUAUGUGCAUUGCAACAGUGACAGUGACUGCGAGUUUAUUUGCAAAGAUGAGAAUUAUAAGAUGGAUCCUUUUUGCUACAAAAGCCUAUGCGUUUGUGAUAGUAAUUACUUUUGCAAAAAUAAAUUUGGUUGCCACUUGAAAGGAUUCGAAUGCGAUGAUGGUGAUGUCCAAUGUAUUAAUUACACGUGUCAGUGCCCAGAAAAAGUGUAGGGCUAGCUAUGUAAAAAUUAUGAGUCCUAAUUAUACAUAUUCCGAACUACCUCGGCUUGUAAGGGAAAAUUUCACGUAAGAACAAUUGGGAUCCUUACUUUUUAA